rnacentral:ncRNA from 2 species
AGAGCUCGCAGUGACUGGCGCCGCGACGUGGACCACCACGGGGAAGCUGCGAGAAAUCAAGGGAGGCCGCGCGCCUGGGUCGGAUGG